CCUUGACAUCCAGAGAACUUAGCAGAGAUGCUUUGGUGCCUUCGGGAACUCUGAGACAGGUGCUGCAUGGCUGUCGUCAGCUCGUGUUGUGAAAUGUUGGGUUAAGUCCGCAACGAGCGCAACCCUUAUCCUUUGUUGCCAGCGGUUCGGCCGGGAACUCAAAGGAGACUGCCGGUGAUAAACCGGAGGAAGGUGGGGAUGACGUCAAGUCAUCAUGGCCCUUACGGCCAGGGCUACACACGUGCUACAAUGGCGCAUACAAAGAGAAGCGACCUCGCGAGAGCAAGCGGACCUCAUAAAGUGCGUCGUAGUCCGGAUUGGAGUCUGCAACUCGACUCCAUGAAGUCGGAAUCGCUAGUAAUCGUAGAUCGGAAUGCUACGGUGAAUACGUUCCCGGGCCUUGUACACACCGCCCGUCACACCAUGGGAGUGGGUUGCAAAAGAAGUAGGUAGCUUAACCUUCGGGAGGGCGCUUACCACUUUGUGAUUCAUGACUGGGGUGAAGUCGUAACAAGGUAAGCGUAGCGAG
rnacentral:rRNA from 1 species